rnacentral:rRNA from 1 species
ACGUCUAUUCCCUGAUUGGCGCCAAACCAGUCGAAAUUGUCCACCAGAGUUUUGGUUUGGUUAUUCCUGCUCUGUAUAUUUGGCCCUGCGCUGGGUGCCCUGUCGGACCUCUCCCGACUGCCCAGUGUUGCCCUCCCUUGAGGUGGUGUCUUGCUUUCUGGAAUGGUUUGCCGUGUCCAUGUUUACCUAGCCCUUUGGGUGAAAACCGGUGUUAACGUCGAUCACCGUUCUGUCCCGUCUUGAACACGGACCCUCCACUGUAACUGUUGCACGACUCGAAAGAUGUUAAAUCUUACUGCAAACUGAUUCUCACCGUCAAGUAAUCCUCAGAAAUGGCACCCUUGCUUUAUCGCUAGGCGCACCAUCGCCCUGUCGGUGGGCUUGCUUUUGGGCAGAGGUAAGCUCGUACAGGUUGCCACCCGAAAUACCGCGAACUCUGGUAGAGCAUAACCAAACCACAUCAAUGUCUAGUGGAAGUUCCUAUCUCUGCUGACCUGCAGGGAUUUCGAUUUCUCUGAAUAUCUCUGCGAAAGAUUCUUUGCACCUUUCCCUCCGGGGUUCCGUUACAAA